CACUAAUCAAACCUAUUGAAAAGAAGUGAAGUUGCAUUCUGUCUUGAACAAUUGCUGAAGAAACACUGUUGGAUUUGCUACAGACAAACGAGGAAUGCAGACUAACAUGCAGUCCAAAAGUGACCAGGUAAUUAUAAUUGGCAUAUAUCAUCUCAUCCUUGUAAAUACAUAAUUUGUAAUGAUUGAAUGAAUGAAUGAAUGAAUGAAUAUGAUGAUGAAAUAAAAUCACAUUAAAUAAAAAAGUUACAAAAGGUUAUAGUUUAAGGUAUGACAUAAACUUGACAUUCAAAUAUUUCUUUCUUUUUUCCUUUUUUUUUUUUUUUUUUUACAAUUCAUUCAUAUGAAAACCAACGAUAUUACUCAUUAAUUAAUUUAAUCAGAAUGGUACAUGAGAUGGUGUUGCAG
ensembl:lncRNA